UACAGAGGGUGCAAGCGUUAAUCGGAAUUACUGGGCGUAAAGCGUGCGUAGGUGGUUCUUUAAGUCAGGUGUGAAAUCCCUGGGCUCAACCUGGGAACUGCAUUUGAUACUGAAGAGCUAGAGUGUGAUAGAGGAUAGUGGAAUUCCCGGUGUAGCGGUGAAAUGCGUAGAUAUCAGGAGGAACACCGAUGGCGAAGGCAGGUCUCUGGGCCACUACUGACGCUGAGAAGCGAAAGCAUGGGGAGCGAACAGG
rnacentral:rRNA from 1 species